rfam:Takifugu rubripes chromosome, Chr_21
CUAGCAGCUGAUUGUCCAAACGCAAUUCUUGUGAAAAUUCAAAUCCUACCCGAGAAUUGUGCCUGGACAUCUGUUGCUGG